GUCGCCAACAGCUCUUUCAUCGAUGUAACUGUGAGCGGCAGACAAAGUACAAGCUCCUGACUCAGCCCCUGUGGAAAUGAACAAGAUAACGAGACAUUAAAUAUUUACCAUCCCACUCACAUCCAUUAUGGAACAACAUGACUUUACAAGCCCACUUCUGAUGACAUCACUUCCCGUUUCCAGCAACGGCACUUCCUGCUUUAUGGUGG